AUGGAUGCUGUGUUUGUGAAUAGGGCCCACUUUCAUCUGAGCGUGUCAAUAACAGGAAAAGCCAGAUUGGCAGCAAGCCCCCACCAUCACCCCCACCACAUCUGCACUCAUGCCCACCUCUCCACUUUGGCCUCAGAGGUGGGAGCUGAUUUUUCUGUUCUCCAUUUUAGGGUGAGCCUAGUGAAAGACAUUGAGGGUGUCCAUCAGUGGUUAUGUAUGGAGAUCAAGAUGUCUGACUUCCAUUCCCUACCCCAGCACACCUGCCGGCGAGAUCCAGGCCGUACAACCAUCAUCACUGUGUUUGCUGUUGGACCAAGAGAGAAUCACGGUGGUCAAGGGUUACAAUGGCAGAGGAAUGUUUCCUGACGAGAUCACUGCACCUGUCAAAAUCCCAUGGCUGACCCAAAGGUCCUAAACAGAAUGCUACUAAGGAGUUAAGGGCUUUCAGUAACACAGGUAUUGCCAAUUCACCUCUUGACCCUAAAAAACCAAUUCUUGCUUUGAGACUCCAUAAACAGUCCCUGUAAAUAUUACAGAAAGCACUAAUUUUCUUCUUUUACAAAAGCAGUCAUUUCUCUUUCUUUUACUCUUUUUUUAAUGAAGUUCUAUUAAGAACUGUUAAAUAUUUAAUUCCUGCUGUGUAUGAGAGAUCAGCUAUGAUUUCUAAGUACAAAACUAAACUUUAGCAAGCUAUAAUGCAGUCUGCAGUCCUGGUGAUUGACACUGUGAUAAUAUAUCUCUACAUAGUGACUGUGUGAACACAGUAUCACAGUAAUGAGAAAUAGAUUUGGUACAAAUAAUUAUUACUAGCAUGUGUGAUAUAUGUUGUAUAUAUGUAAUACACGAUAUUCACCUGGUGUACAUACAUAUGCCACAUAUGAUUUGUAUAUUUAGGCAUAUAUAUGUGUGUAUACACAAUAGUCACCUGGUGUACAUACGUAUGCCACAUAUGAUUUGUAUAUCUAGGCAUAUAUAUGUGUAUACACACACACACACGUUUCAGUCUUUUUGGAUAUGGCCUCACUUUCUUUGCAAAACACAUUUAUUUUUUCCAUCCCAAGAAAAUAUUUGUCUUGCAAAAGUGCACUGGAAAUACUUAGGUUGUUGAUUCAAAAUAAUUAUCCCUGAAAAAAAGUAUGAUUUGUCUUCAGUCUCACAGCACCAUUUCGUUGCUUCCUGUGGCCUACAGAACUAUAUUUAUAAAAGGAUUUUGUCCUUUUGCCCUUCCCAUAACUCACCAUCAACUGUGAAUCAAGUUUCAGGAACAAUAGGGGCUAUUUUCUGAAAUCAAUAGGCAAGCUUUAUUGCUUUUCUUUUUUAGGAUUUCUUUACUCGCUCAUUUUCCAGAAUUCUCCUGUUCUAGACUCUCAUUUAUAUUAAUCAGCCAGAGUCCCUCAUCUGCUUACUGAGUUUGCUGUUGCCUGGAAGAAUUUCCAAGUCCUCUUUUACAAGGAAAACAACAUAUUCUGUAGUAGGAAGUAGAAGUUGCCCACAGGCCACUUACAGACCUUCAAUCAGCAGGUGGAAUUAGAUAUUUCGAGUUAGAUCUUUUGUGUGUCCUAUUUAUUUUAUAAAAGGACAUUCUUAUUUCUCAUUUUUGAGUUAUAAGUUGACUAAUAAAGGUAUAAUAUUAUGACUUUUUAGGAAAGUC
rnacentral:lncRNA from 13 species